rnacentral:rRNA from 1 species
AAUCAACGCUGGCGGCGUGCUUAACACAUGCAAGUCGAACGGUAAGGCCCUUCGGGGUACACGAGUGGCGAACGGGUGAGUAACACGUGGGUGAUCUGCCCUGCACUUCGGGAUAAGCCUGGGAAACUGGGUCUAAUACCGGAUAGGACCACUGCCCGCAUGGGUGGUGGUGGAAAGCUUUUGCGGUGUGGGAUGGGCCCGCGGCCUAUCAGCUUGUUGGUGGGGUGAUGGCCUACCAAGGCGACGACGGGUAGCCGGCCUGGGAGGGUGACCGGGCACACUGGGACUGAGAUACGGCCCAGGCUCCUACGGGAGGCAGCAGUGGGGAAUAUUGCACAAUGGGCGCAAGCCUGAUGCAGCGACGCCGCGUGAGGGAUGACGGCCUUCGGGUUGUAAACCUCUUUCAGCACCGACGAAGCGCAAGUGACGGUAGGUGCAGAAGAAGGACCGGCCAACUACGUGCCAGCCGCGGCCGUAAAAC